rnacentral:lncRNA from 1 species
CUUUUAACAGCUUAACUGUGUCUUCAUAUAAGAAUACGUUUAUGUUCCUGGUUUUUCCAGAAAAAGAAAUGGAAGCUCAGAUUAAAGGAUUUGUCAAGGUUUCACUGGCUUGAAGUGACUGAGUUGGGCUGUGAAUUCAUGCUUAGUUUCCCACCUUACCCUUUUUCAAGUACUCAGAUUCUUCCCACCCUUCCUAUUUUAAGUACCCAAAUCAAUCUGCAAAAUGUAGCAAAUUAAAAUGAUUCUGAAAUUGAAACAAAAAUGUUGCUCUUCUUCCAGGUAACUGUCUGCAAGGACCUUCUCAUAAAUUUCGCUCAGAGAGGAGGCCUUCUGUGAAGUUGCCAUUAGACAUUGUCAUUCAUCUGUGGAGACUGAGGGCCAGAUAGUUUCAGGGCUGCAGCCCAUUGUGGAAAACUCUGAUGUCGAACUCCUAUGGCUGUAUAAACACCAGAGCUUAGUUCAGGGAGUCCCUCAGAUUGCCAACAAGUAUGAACUGAAUGAUGACACUGUUCGAAAUGCCUUCCUUGCUAUUCUCCUGCAUGACCAAGUAUCCUGGCUUUUUAGAUGCAGCCAUUAAACAUUAAGGUGACAAAAAUAAAGCUACUAUGACAGAAUGACA